CCUACGGGAGGCUGCAGUGAGGAAUAUUGGUCAAUGGACGAGAGCCUGAACCAGCCAAGUAGCGUGAAGGAUGACUGCCCUAUGGGUUGUAAACUUCUUUUAUAAGGGAAUAAAGUGAGGCACGUGUGCAUUUUUGCAUGUCCUUUAUGAAUAAGGCUCGGCUAACUCCGUGCAAGCAGCCGCGGUAAUACGGAGGAUCCGAGCGUUAUCCGGAUUUAUUGGGUUUAAAGGGAGCGUAGAUGGGUUGUUAAGUCAGUUGUGAAAGUUUGCGGCUCAACCGUAAAAUUGCAAUUGAUACUGGCAGUCUUGAGUACAGUUGAGGUAGGCGGAAUUCGUGGUGUAGCGGUGAAAUGCUUAGAUAUCACGAAGAACCCCGAUUGCGAAGGCAGCUUACUAAACUGUAACUGACAUUGAUGCUCGAAAGUGUGGGUAUCAAACAGGAUUAGAUACCCCAGUAGUC
rnacentral:rRNA from 1 species